AACGCACAUUGCGCCCCCUGGUAUUCCGGGGGGCAUGCCUGUCCGAGCGUCAUUGCAACCCCCAUCAAGCCCGGCUUGUGUGUUGAGCGCUGGCCCCCCAGGGGCCUGCUCCAAAUGCAGUGGCGGCGUCGCUCAACCAAGGGUGACCGAGCAUAUGGGAGACUUAUUCUGGAUGCUCGCACGCUCCCGGUGAACGCUGGCCUCGAACCCGACCCCUACCAGCUAGGGAUCGCUUCCAUUCAGGUUGACCUCGGAUCAGGUAGGGAUACCCGCUGAACUUAA
rnacentral:misc_RNA from 1 species